AGGUGGGCCUAGAUAUGAAGGCUGUUUCCAACUUUUUCUGAUUCCUCAUGGUAAUUAUAUUCAACUCAGUUCUACAAGGGCAAAUGGUACGGAAGAGCCCAGGCAGAAGACAGAUACUUGGUGUGAGAACCGUAUGGAUAGGAAGAAGUAACCUAGACCCAAGAUGCAAGUUCACGGAUUGCAGGACGGGAGGCCAAACACUGAAAGAGCAUCUGACAAAAGUCUUCUUGAUACACAAUGAAUCCUGACCUGGGAUGGAAAGUAAUUUUUGUGAACAUAUUUACAGAACUAUGUGUAAUAGAUCUUGCAAAGGCUGAAGGCUGGUAAUAGCAACUGAUGUAGUACCAUGGAGAAAAGAAACCUGAACACUGCUCUCGGAGGAGGCCAAGUGAGGAGUGAGGGCUGAUAUGCUGAAUGCCUCCCUGCAAAUCUUGAAUCCAGCCUUGCCAUGGUUUGCUCAAUGUAGAAUAUCAUUAAGCCAAUGUGUGUUGCACUGAGGUAAAAUUACAGGAGAAUUUUUUGUAUUCAGGAGCUGACAAAAGGAAUGUCCUGAAUUUAUUCUAAUGGCAUGGUUUUACUUUCAGGUAGGUGUUGGCAUUUCAAACUACUUUAAUGGCUGCAAGCAUGAAAUGUUCCAUGGUAGCUUACUCACUCUAGCAUGCUGUCUGUGGGCAGGGUUUAUAGAGGGCAAUUCAUGAACUUUGCUUCUUAAACCAUAACCUUCCACACAAGGAAGUUCAAGUAGGUCAUGUGGUGAGAGGAGCCAGGAAACACCCCUAUGUGUGUGAUGCAAAUCUUACAGCCUGUCUAGUAGCUGGGAGUGGCCAACAGAUGUGCAUCCCCGUUUGUCAGAUGUGUUUAUACAUCUUCUGAGAUGUUACAGCUAUUAAUUGUAUAUCAGAGCUUAGAAUCCGACCCUAAAAAGUAGGUGUUUUCUAAGGUGGUAUUCAACUUCCUUGUGAUGAAAAUUAGCUUUCCAACUUAAGCAACAUUUGUGACUUAGUUCAGAAGAGCACUGAAGAUG